rnacentral:rRNA from 1 species
UACGUAGGGUGCAAGCGUUACUCGGAAUUACUGGGCGUAAAGCGUGCGCAGGCGGCUCUGCAAGUCAGGUGUGAAAUCCCCGGGCUUAACCUGGGAACUGCAUUUGUGACUGCAUGGCUAGAGUGCGGCAGAGGGGGAUGGAAUUCCGAGUGUAGCAGUGAAAUGCGUAGAUAUGCGGAGGAACACCGAUGGCGAAGGCAAUCCCCUGGGCCUGCACUGACGCUCAGGCACGAAAGCGUGGGGAGCAAACAGG